rnacentral:rRNA from 1 species
AUUGAACGCUGGCGGCAUGCCUUACACAUGCAAGUCGAACGGCAGCACGGGAGCAAUCCUGGUGGCGAGUGGCGAACGGGUGAGUAAAGUAUCGGAACGUGCCCAGUCGUGGGGGAUAACGUAGCGAAAGUUACGCUAAUACCGCAUACGAUCUAUGGAUGAAAGCGGGGGAUCGCAAGACCUCGCGCGAUUGGAGCGGCCGAUAUCAGAUUAGGUAGUUGGUGGGGUAAAGGCUCACCAAGCCGACGAGCUGUAGCCGGUCUGAGAGGACGACCAGCCACACUGGGACUGAGACACGGCCCAGACUCCUACGGGAGGCAGCAGUGGGGAAUGUUGGACAAAGGGCGAAAGCCUGAUCCAGCCAUGCCGCGUGCAGGAUGAAGGCCUUCGGGCUGUAAACUGCUUUUGUACGGAACGAAAAGGUUUGGCCUAAUAAGCUGAGCUUAUGACGGUACCGUAAGAAUAAGCACCGGCUAACUACGUGCCAGCCGCCGCGGUAA